rnacentral:rRNA from 1 species
AUUGAACGCUGGCGGCAUGCCUUACACAUGCAAGUCGAACGGUAACAGGUUAAGCUGACGAGUGGCGAACGGGUGAGUAAUAUAUCGGAACGUGCCCAGUCGUGGGGGAUAACGUAGCGAAAGCUACGCUAAUACCGCAUACGAUCUACGGAUGAAAGCGGGGGAUCGCAAGACCUCGCGCGAUUGGAGCGGCCGAUAUCAGAUUAGGUUGUUGGUGAGGUAAAAGCUCACCAAGCCUGCGAUCUGUAGCUGGUCUGAGAGGACGACCAGCCACACUGGAACUGAGACACGGUCCAGACUCCUACGGGAGGCAGCAGUGGGGAAUUUUGGACAAUGGACGCAAGUCUGAUCCAGCAAUGCCGCGUGCAGGACGAAGGCCUUCGGGUUGUAAACUGCUUUUGUACGGAACGAAACGGUGAGCUCUAAUACAGUUUGCUAAUGACGGUACCGUAAGAAUAAGCACCGGCUAACUACGUGCCAGCAGCCGCAGUAAAAC